rnacentral:lncRNA from 1 species
CUGGUAUUCUCUAGAAGGAAUUAGUUGGACCGUCCUGAGCUGUCAAGACUGCCAGGCUACUGGGAGGAAGCAUCAUCAGCUUUCAUAUUUGAGGGUCAAAAGAGAAGCUACUCAAUCCCAGAUAGCACAGGUCACAGAACCAAGGCAUGAAGCUUUGAUUGUCCAGUCAUGGUGGAGUAGGGCAAACAAGCACAGCAGGACCAGGAGGAAAAAGAAAGAAAAAGAAAAAAUAUAUAUCUUACACCAGCCAGGGAGGAAAGAUAGAUGACCUACAAAGGACAACAAAAUUGGAAAAGUAGCUGACUUUCUCCAUAGCAACCAUAGCAGCCAGAAGAUAUCUUCACAUUGCUGACAGGUGGGGGUAUCAAACUAGAAUUUUAUGCAAAUAUAAAUGAUCAGAAAAGACGUAUUUGGACCAACAAAACCUCGGAGUUCACACCAGAAGUCUCCAAAGGAAUUUCUAAAAUAUAUACUUAAGAAAGGGA